rnacentral:rRNA from 1 species
UACAGGGGGGGCAAGCGUUGUUCGGAAUUACUGGGCGUAAAGGGCUCGUAGGCGGCCAACUAAGUCCGACGUGAAAUCCCAAGGCUUAACUUUGGAACUGCGUCGGAUACUGGAUGGCUUGAAUUCGGGAGAGGGAUGCAGAAUUCCAGGUGUAGCGGUGAAAUGCGUAGAUAUCUGGAGGAAUACCGGUGGCGAAGGCGGCAUCCUGGACCGACAUUGACGCUGAGGGGCGAAAGCUAGGGGAGCAAACGGG